rnacentral:rRNA from 1 species
AACGAACGCUGGCGGCAUGCCUAACACAUGCAAGUCGAACGAGACCUUCGGGUCUAGUGGCGCACGGGUGCGUAACGCGUGGGAACCUGCCCUUAGGUUCGGAAUAACUCCCCGAAAGGGGUGCUAAUACCGGAUAAUGUCUUCGGUCCAAAGAUUUAUCGCCUUUGGAUGGGCCCGCGUUGGAUUAGCUAGUUGGUAGGGUAAAAGCCUACCAAGGCGACGAUCCAUAGCUGGUCUGAGAGGAUGAUCAGCCACACUGGGACUGAGACACGGCCCAGACUCCUACGGGAGGCAGCAGUGGGGAAUAUUGGACAAUGGGCGAAAGCCUGAUCCAGCAAUGCCGCGUGAGUGAUGAAGGCCUUAGGGUUGUAAAGCUCUUUUACCCGGGAUGAUAAUGACAGUACCGGGAGAAUAAGCUCCGGCUAACUCCGUG